rnacentral:rRNA from 1 species
UUGACAUGGGGAGUAUGAUUGGCAGAGAUGUCUUUCGUUCAGUUCGGCUGGGCUCCACACACAGGGUGCCUUGCAUUGGCUGUCGUCAGCUCGUGUCGUGAGAUGUUUGGGUUAAGUCCCGCAACGAGCGCAACCCUCACCAUUAGUGCCAGCAUUUGGUUGGGCACUCUGAUGGAACUGCCGGUGAUAAGCCGGAGGAAGGUGGGGAUGACGUCAAGUCCUCAUGGCCCUUAUGGGCUGGGCAUACACACGUGCUACAAUGGCGGUGACAGUGGGAAGCGAAGGGGUGACCCGGAGCUAAUCUCCAAAAGCCGUCUCAGUUCGGAUUGUCAACUCGAGUGCAUGAAGUUGGAAUCGCUAGUAAUCGCGGAUCAGCAUGCCGCGGUG